rnacentral:rRNA from 1 species
GGGUCAGUAGGUUGGUCGUGCCACCGGUACGUACUGGUCUCACUGAUUCCUCCUUCCUGAAGAACCGUAACGCCAUUAAUUUGGUGUUGCGGGGAAACAGGACUGUUACUUUGAAAAAAUUAGAGUGUUUAAAGCAAGCUAACGCCUGAAUACAUUAGCAUGGAAUAAUGAAAUAGGACGAUCGAUCCUAUUUUGUUGGUUUCUAGGAUUGACGUA